AUGCAUGAGUAAAAAUAUGUAAAAGCUUUUUGUCAUUUUUCCUCCACAAGAUAAAUAUCAUUAUAUAAAAAUGAAUUUGUUUAUCAUUCAAGUGAAUAAAAUUUAUUUAUAUACAUUUAUUAUAUAGUUGUUGUUUUAUUAUCCAGCCCUAGAUUUGUAUAAUGUAGCAUUAGAACUGAUUCAAACAUUGUAUGUAUAUUGAUCAUAAGUCUCUUAACUCUCCUAUAGAGCCGUUCUGAUAUAUGUACAGGCAGGUGUUACCGAGCAUUACUGGCUUUCUACAGAUGUAUACGUGCAAAGAUAUAGAGAAACAAAAAUUGCAGGAAGAAUCUGAUGAAUUUUUCAACCUUUUUUAAAUGGUUUUGUUUUGUGUUUUUAUUUUCUAGUUAUUAUUUUUAAUUGCUUAAUUUAAGCUGUUUAAUGCUGUUGUUGCUUUUUGGAAUUUUGCAGAUAAAACAGAAAGAACGAGUAUUCUAAUAACUCUUUUAUUGUUAAAUAUGGACAUGUGACUAUUGUUUAAAGACAGACUUGGAAAAAAGUGUGAAAGGUCCUAUCCCUUAAGCUAAAAUAUAAUCAUCUCUGUUUAUUCAACUGCAAAAUAGUUUUCCUCAGGUCAUAUCUUUUCACAACCAAAUUUAAUGGGUGAUCGUCCAAAAUGUGUUCUUAUGUUAAGUAAGUGUUCAAAAUCAUCUGAUAUAUCGGAUAUCAUUGAAGUACUGAUAUCACCAUCUGUCUCAAAAAUCCAUUGUUGCUUGGGCUCUUUUGUCCUUACAGUUUUUAACAAGGCCAAGUACUUCCGAGUCCUCCUGCCCCUCUGACCCACAUCUCCACUGCCAACUCUGCAGCUGGUUCUAAAUAAUGAUCUAAGUGCUCAGCAGUGUCCUGUUGACAGAAAUAGCGUGGGUUUAUUUUCCAGACUUGCUCCUUUUUACCCCAUAAAUAAAACUGUUGUCCCAAAGCUGCACCAUAUGAGUGUGUAUGCAUGCACAUGCGUGUCUCCUUAUUGGGUAAAUGGGAACAUGUGUGUUUAUUCAUGUUCGUGCCAAGCAUUACUGGAACUGUGCUUCACGGAAAGUAGGUUCUCUUCAGACCCAAAGUGCCUUUUGGCUUAUUUUGACAUGUUAGAGGACUUGUCAGAGAAAAACAAGUGAUGAACUUGUCUUUGCUUUAGGUUUAAAACAGAGCAGUCUGACAGGAAGAGGCAGGUGCAGGUGAAACCGAGAAGUUGUUAUCCGAGCCGCAGCAAAGACAUGUUGAAACACAGCUCUGUCAAAGAGUGACAUUCAAGAAGUUGUAUUAUUCCUUUUAGGGAAGCCUGUUCUGUCAUCAUUGUUUUGCAUUCUUUUACUAAGAUCCUAUUGUAUGAAGUAUAGAUAACGCCUUACAAUAAAAGUAUCUUGUUUUAACCUCUUCAGAA